rnacentral:lncRNA from 1 species
UCGUUGAUGGUUCAACUCGUAAUAGCAACUUCUUACCUGAAAAGAAAGGGACUUGCAUACCAGGUACAUGAUUGGUUAGUAGGCCAUGCUGCUUUUGUUUCCGAGCCUGAGAAAUUCUUUAUACAUUGCGUGUGGUAUAGCAAAAUUGACGUAAAGUAUACCGUCUAAUCAUGUUGGACCAUAUAGCAUAAUUAAUAAUGGAGCAGAUAUUUAAUAUUAUUUUAUUUUAUUUUAAAAUUUUUUCUGACAAAAAUAUCCUUUUCGUUUGUAAAACAAAGAAAGAACAGUAUUUUAUUAUUUUUUGAUAUCUUAUAUGAUUUUUUGUGAGUAUAUAUGACAAUAUAUAUGAUUUUCUGUAUAUCCUAUUGGUUAUUAUGACUUCCUAUAUCUUUAUAUAACAUCCUCAAUAAUAUAUAUGACUUUCUAAUAUCUUCUAUAAUUUUCUGUGAAUAUAUAUAACAUCCUGAAUAAUAUAUAUAAUUUUUUAUAAAUAUAUAUAAUAUCAUAAAUAAUAUAUAUGACUUCCUAAUGCCUUAUAUAAUUUUUUGUCAAUAUAUAUAAUAUCCUAAACAAUAUAUAUGACUUCCUGUCAAUAUAUGUGAUAUCCUGAGUAAU